GCUCAGCGGUGUCGCAGCUGUCUGCCGGGCUUCCUGCACCCACCCUGGCAUCCAUCCUGGAAAUAGCUGAGGUUGGACCCAGUAAGAAGGGCGGGAAACCGGAGAAGAAUCGUCGUCAGCAAGGAAGACCAAAUUAUCCCCACCAGUGGGGACCACCGGGGUUCCAGGCAAGUAAAGACAACUCAGCUGCAGGUGGGAAGCGUAGAGACUGACAUGGAAAAUCCACGCACGCUGACGGCUUCUGACCGGGAGGGAAAUGUUCAGAUUCUGUUUCACCGUAAGGUCUUCACGUUUUUGGAUGAUGUGUUUUGCAGAUUUUUUUCUUCUCUUAACGUCUAGUGAUUUGCAAGCACCGAAAUAAUACAGCAGGACCUUUUA